rfam:Triticum aestivum genome assembly, contig: Triticum_aestivum_CS42_TGACv1_scaffold_185645_2DS
CAAGUACUCCCUCCGUCCGGAAUUACUUGUCAUCAAAAUGGAUGUGUCUAGAACUAAAAUACAUCUNACUAAAAUACAUCUAGAUACAUCCAUUUCAAUGACAAGUAUUUUCGGACGGAGGGAGUACAAG